GUCUGGACUUCUUCUUAAAUCGUUAUGGGCGUCAAUAUGCUUCUCCUUGAAGCCAAGGUUGCUCCGGCGAUUUAGAAAACAAACUCAAGUUUUUUCUAUGAUGAUUUAAAGUCAAAGUCUUUACAAGCUGAGUUUGGCGAAAAGAGGAGCUUUGGUCGCGGUUUCUGUAUUACAGUUAAGAGAUUGCAACAUAUAAAAAAAUUACUAACGCUCUGCUUCAUAGAAGGAUAUUACUGAAGAAAACAAAUCUCAUCCAUGCCCAACAGAGUGGUUAUUUCGUGUUGAUAU